rnacentral:rRNA from 1 species
GACGAACGCUGGCGGCGUGCCUAAUACAUGCAAGUCGAACGAACUCUGGUACUGAUUGGUGCUUGCAUCAUGAUUUACAUUUGAGUGAGUGGCGAACUGGUGAGUAACACGUGGGAAACCUGCCCAGAAGGGGGGGAUAACACCUGGAAACAGAUGCUAAUACCGCAUAACAGCUUGGACCGCAUGGUCCGAGCUUGAAAGAUGGCUUCGGCUAUC